rnacentral:tRNA from 1 species
GGUGGCUUGGUGGUAGAGCACUUGCCUUGCAUGCAUGAGACCCUGGGUUCGAUUCCUCAGCACCA